CCCCAGACUCCUACGGGAGGCAGCAGUGAGGAAUAUUGGUCAAUGGCCGGAAGGCUGAACCAGCCAUGCCGCGUGAAGGUCAGUGCCCUAUGGGCGUUAAACUUCUUUUGUGCGGGAGCAAUAAUGGUCACGUGUGGCCAGACGAGAGUACCGUACGAAUAAGCAUCGGCUAACUCCGUGCCAGCAGCCGCGGUAAUACGGGGGAUGCAAGCGUUAUCCGGAUUUAUUGGGUUUAAAGGGUGCGUAGGCGGACAGUCAAGUCAGCGGUAAAAAUGCGGUGCUCAACGCCGUACAGCCGUUGAAACUGGCAGUCUCGAGUUGGAGAGAAGUAUGCGGAAUGCGCGGUGUAGCGGUGAAAUGCAUAGAUAUCGCGCAGAACUCCGAUUGCGAAGGCAGCAUGCCGGCUCCACGCUGACGCUGAGGCACGAAAGCGUGGGUAUCGAACAGGAUUAGAUACCCGUGUA
rnacentral:rRNA from 1 species